rnacentral:rRNA from 1 species
AGUGAACGCUGGCGGUAGGCCUAACACAUGCAAGUCGAACGGCAGCACAGUAAGAGCUUGCUCUUACGGGUGGCGGGUGGCGGACGGGUGAGGAAUACAUCGGAAUCUACUUUUUCGUGGGGGAUAACGUAGGGAAACUUACGCUAAUACCGCAUACGACCUACGGGUGAAAGCAGUGGAUCUUCGGACCUUGCGCGAUUGAAUGAGCCGAUGUCGGAUUAGCUAGUUGGCGGGGUAAAGGCCCACCAAGGCGACGAUCCGUAGCUGGUCUGAGGGGAUGAUCAGCCAAACUGGGAAUGAGAAACGGUCCAGAAUCCUACGGGAGGCAGCAGUGGGGAAUAUUGGACAAUGGGCGCAAGCCUGAUCCAGCCAUACCGCGUGGGUGAAGAAGGCCUUCGGGUUGUAAAGCCCUUUUGUUGGGAAAGAAAAGCAGCAGGUUAAUACCCCGCUGUUCUGACGGUACCCAAAGAAUAAGCACCGGCUAACUUCGUGC